UACGCAGGGUGCAAGCGUUAAUCGGAAUUACUGGGCGUAAAGCGUGCGCAGGCGGUUUUGUAAGUCUGUCGUGAAAGCCCCGGGCUCAACCUGGGAAUUGCGAUGGAGACUGCAAGGCUUGAAUCUGGCAGAGGGGGGGUAGAAUUCCACGUGUAGCAGUGAAAUGCGUAGAGAUGUGGAGGAACACCGAUGGCGAAGGCAGCCCCCCUGGGGUCAAGAUUGACGCUCAUGCACGAAAAGCGUGGGGGAGCAAACAGG
rnacentral:rRNA from 1 species